rnacentral:lncRNA from 1 species
AACCGGAUUCAGACACUGGGGCAGGAUCAGGAUCAGUUCCAUGGGGUAAAAGAGAGGAAACUGCUUGGGGUAAGAAAGUUAACAGCGGGGAUUCAGCUGCUGCCUGGGGUAAAAAAGAUGACACUGGGGACUCAGCUCCAUGGAGCAAAAAAGCUGACACUGGGGGUUCAACUCCAGCUCCAUGGGGUAAAAAAGCCGACACUGCAGCUCCAGCUCCAUGGGGGAAAAAAGAUGACACCGGGGGCUCAGGCUCAGCUCCAUGGGGUAAAAAAGCCGACACUGGGGUUUCAACUCCAGCUCCAGCUCCAUGGGGCAAAAAAGAUGACACCGGAUCAGCUCCAUGGGGUAAAAAAGCUGACACUAGGGGUUCAGGUUCAGCUCCAUGGGGCAAAAAAGAUGACACUGGAUCAGUUCCAUGGGGUAAAAAAGAUGACACCGGAUCAGCUCCAUGGGGCAAAAAAGAUGACACCGGAUCAACUCCAUGGGGUAAAAAAGAUGACACUGGAUCUGCUCCCGCUCCAUGGGGAAGAAAGGAUGUUAAAGCUGACGAGCCCAGUCAAGUGGAAGAGUCUCAGUGGGGUAAAAUAGAGUCGUCUGGUUCCUGGGGCAAAUCAGUACAAAAACCUGAUUCCGUUCCGA